CAGGACUUUUACCGCAGUGACGGACCUGAGGACGGGUUCCUGGUAUAAAGAACACUGGCCCUUUAAGUCCCCUUAGGCGGGAAUCAGUCUGAACUGCGGCAGCCCGUUAGCUCGUUAGCUCGUUAGCUGGUUUUAGCUUCACUAAACUCCUAAAAUAGACUCCGGAGAAAAGCUCAGUUUUACUCUCAAGCACCGUUUUAUUCUCGUUUUAUAAAGCCGUGUUUUAUAAAGCCGUUUUAUUUAAAGAGUAAACUAGGGUUAGCUUGUGUUUCCCGUUAGCCGCGAAGCUAACAGUAGCAUCAGCACAACCUAGCUAGCUGCAGCUUCAUCUUCAGGUUAAAAUGUCAGCAGGAAGAAAAGUGAUGAAGAAAAAACAUCCAGAAGAGAAAAUGGAUAAAAAGGUUUUUGAUUUUAUUACCGAAGAUGAAAAGAAGGAGUUGAGCUGCUCAGAGGAGGAAGUCAGAGAAGUAUUCAUGUCUCCAGAUGAAACUCUGAUGGUGGACAAGUCGGCCAAGAAGAGACCAGCUGACUUUGAAGAGGGGGAGGGGCCUACGGGCGCCGUGGGAAAUGAGGUCCACUCCAUGUUGGAGAAGUUCGGAGGUAAGCAGCUCUGUGCAGUCUGGUUGUUGCAUGAAGCUGACAUCAGCAAGGUGAUGCAGAAUAAGAAGAAGCGUCUGGAGAGUCUGACCAAGAACUACAUGAAGGGCAGCCAACAGAAGCUGGAGCAGCUGUGGAACAGCUACCACGGACAGAGGCAGAAGAUGACUCAGCAGUACUCCCAGCAGGUGUCCUCAGCGCUGCAGCAGUGGGAGUCUGAAGCCCAGCGAGCUGAGGAGCAGGAGGAGAAGCUCAACAGUCUGUUCAGGCAGCAGCAGAAGAUCCUUCAACAGGCCCGAGUGGUCCAGAACCAGAAGCUGAAGACCGUCAGAGAACUCUACGAGCAGUUUGUGAAGGUGACCCUCAUCCUGCAGCAGGAAGAACACUUAAAGUACACAAGUACACCGGAAAGUGUGUUUGUGUCACUCCUUUACUCCAGAACAUGGAGGACAUGGAGAAGAGCCACGACGCCUUCCUGCAGGGGGCGCAACAGGAGCUGAGGAAGGAGAUGGCCAACCUGCAGAAGAAGAUCCUCAUGGACACCGUGAGUUAGGGCUGAUUCCUGAUCAGUUUGGCUCAACCUCCACAGUUACGGAGCAACAGCAGGAAAUGGCCACCGUCCGCAAAUCGCUGCACACGAUGCUGUUCUGAAGGUGAUGCAUUCUGGGAUGCUGUCGCCGCGGUUACACAAACUUGUGUUCCUGUUUGUGAAGUCAGCUCAUUUUACUUGUUUGAGGAGAAUAUUGAUGAUUGUUUAAUAUUAUAUAUAUAUAUAUAAACAAUAUAGAUUGUUUUAGUUUCUGUUAGAAACUAAAGAUUUGUUUUAAUUUAUCGGUUUUACAAGAAGUUCAAAAGUUAUUUAAAAACCGAUAGAACAGAAAACUGAAAUCAUCUGAGAACAUUUAAGAAAUAAACUUGUUUUUCUACCAAUCAGA